UACGUAGGGGUCUAGCGUUGUCCGGAAUCAUUGGGCGUAAAGAGCUUGUAGGCGGUUUGUCGCGUCUGCUGUGAAAUUUCGGGGCUCAACCCCGAACUUGCAGUGGGUACGGGCAGACUAGAGUGUGGUAGGGGAGACUGGAAUUCCUGGUGUAGCGGUGAAAUGCGCAGAUAUCAGGAGGAACACCGGAGUCGAAGGCGGAUCUCUGGGCCUACUGACGUCUGAGGCGCGAAAGCUAGGGGAGCGAACAGG
rnacentral:rRNA from 1 species